rnacentral:lncRNA from 1 species
GUGAAGGUUAGCUUGGUCGAAUCCUUGUUGUACUCCACUGCUGCGAAAACUAGACUGAAACGGUGAAUUGUUUGGUGUAGAGCUUGGAGUUAGCGCGAUUCUUGGGUUCGAAAGGCUACGAUCGACCCAGCAGGUGGCGCCACAGCUGUGAGAGUGUACCGCUGCCAGGGGAUAGCUUCCGAGGUGGGUUACAUCGGCUUUACUCCUAAGUUCUUAUUGGUCGACAUGUAUAGAUCUUGAUUUCGGUAAAUUAUGUUAGCUCAAAUUCAUGGACUAUAUGUAGAUUGUGAAAUCUGAAUUUUGGAGCAUGUUUUAUAAAUUAAGUAGAUUAUACAUGUUGGACUUGGAAAUUGAAUUAGGAGAAAAUCUGCAAUUUGGACCUGUCACCAGUUUUAACUACCUGAUUUAGCUCUAGGAGCCGUUAGAAAAAUUGUACUGUCGCAGUUUCUUCGAGACGAGUACUCCAGGUAGUUUAGAAUAUAUUUACACUUGUGCUGGUUCGCCGAGUGAAUUUUUACAGGGUCGUUCAGGUUGUUUCGGACUGUUGGGUGCCGUCAGAGUUGACGGUGGACCCGUAUCGCUUUUUUGGCGUCAGAUUGUGCCAAGGGCACGUUACCUGUUUGUUGUUAGACCAGUUUGAGUCGAUUACUUGACUUUGGCUAGUUGGAGCCUGAUUGAGCUCGACAGAGAUACGCUGCAUACUCGGUUGGGUAGCGCCCACAAGUGCCACUCCGGAGUCAGGCUUGUGCUUUCGCGUUGGUAUCGCUCAUGCCAGUUGGACUUGCUCUCCACUGACCAGUUAGAGUGGAUAGAGCCCGAUAGUCGCAAUGGGGUAGGGACGGGUGUAUUCACAGUCCCGGGGAUGGGUAUGCUUACAGUCCCGAUUUGGAUUGGGUCAGAUUUGGCAUUUCCUACAGUUGGUUAGUGUAGAGCGUGAUAGUGUAGUGUCGGAUAGCGGUAGAGGGUACUUCCUGCUUUUCCUACUAUCCUUGCUCCCUUCUGUAGACUUAGUGGGUGACCGAUGUUGUUUUGGGCGGUACCCACUGAGGACUACUUGUUUUUACAGUAGUUCUCACGCCCAGUUGUUACUUAUGUUUUGCAGAGCCACUGGUACCGGCUGCUGCAUAUUCUGCCUAUCAGGAUCGAGGCAAGGGCGUUGCGAGCUAGAG